rnacentral:rRNA from 1 species
CAAUAGCGUAUAUUAAAGUUGUUGCAGUUAAAAAGCUCGUAGUUGGAUUUCGGGAUGGGCCAGUCGGUCUGCCGUAAGGUAUGUUACUGGCUGGUCUGUCCUUCUUCGCAAAGACUGCGUGUGCCCUUAAUUGUGUGUGCGUAGGAUUUGCGACGUUACUUUGAAAAAAUUAGAGUGUUCAAAGCAGGCUGACCGCUUGAAUACAUGAGCAUGGAAUAAUGGAAUAGGACUUUGGUUCUAUUUUGUUGGUUUCUUGAACCGAAGUAAUGAUUAAGAGGGACAGUUGGGGGCAUUCGUAUUUCGUUGUCAGAGGUGAAAUUCUUGGAUUUACGAAAGACGAACUUAGGCGAAAGCAUUUACCAAGGAUGUUUUCAUUAAUCAAGAACGAAAGUUAGGGGAUCGAAGAUGAUUAGAUACA